rnacentral:rRNA from 1 species
CCUACGGGUGGCAGCAGUGGCGGAUAUUGCACAAUGGGGGAAACCCUGAUGCAGCGACGCCGCGUGGGCGAAGAAGUAUUUCGGUAUGUAAAGCCCUAUCAGCAGGGAAGAAGAAAUGACGGUACCUGAGUAAGAAGCACCGGCUAAAUACGUGCCAGCAGCCGCGGUAAUACGUAUGGUGCAAGCGUUAUCCGGAUUUACUGGGUGUAAAGGGAGCGCAGGCGGCACGGCAAGCCUGAUGUGAAAGCCCGCGGCCCAACCGCGGGACUGCAUUGGGAACUACCGGGCUGGAGUGCCGGAGAGGUAGGCGGAAUUCCUAGUGUAGCGGUGAAAUGCGUAGAUAUUAGGAGGAACACCAGUGGCGAAGGCAGCUUACUAAACUGUGACUGACAUUGAUGCUCGAAAGUGUGGGUAUCAAACAGGAUUAGAUACCCCUGUAGUC